GGAAUAUUGGUCAAUGGCCGAGAGGCUGAACCAGCCAUGCCGCGUGCGGGAAGACGGCCCUAUGGGUUGUAAACCGCUUUUUUGAGGGAGCAAUAAGGCCCACGUGUGGGUUGAUGAGAGUACCUUGAGAAUAAGCAUCGGCUAACUCCGUGCCAGCAGCCGCGGUAAUACGGAGGAUGCGAGCGUUAUCCGGAUUUAUUGGGUUUAAAGGGUGCGUAGGCGGACGAUUAAGCGUGAGGUGAAAUGCCCGGGCUCAACCUGGGAACUGCCUCGCGAACUGGUUGUCUGGAAUGCUCCUGCCGUGGGAGGAAUGUGUGGUGUAGCGGUGAAAUGCAUAGAGAUCACACAGAACACCGAUUGCGAAGGCAUCUCACGAAGGGGUGAUUGACGCUGAGGCACGAAAGCGUGGGGAUCAAACA
rnacentral:rRNA from 1 species